AGAGUUUGAUCCUGGCUCAGGAUGAACGCUGGCGGCGUGCCUAAUACAUGCAAGUCGGACGGAUGUAGCAAUACAUUAGUGGCGAACGGGUGAGUAACACGUAGGUGACCUGCCCUAAAGAGGGGAAUACCACUUCGAAAGGAGUGACAAAACCGCAUAAACUUAUAGAGAUCAGAAGGCUAUAAGGAAAAGAGCGAUCUACUUUAGGAGGGGCCUGCGGCCCAUCAGCUAGUUGGUAGAGGUAACGGCCUACCAAGGCGAAGACGGGUAGGGGACCUGAGAGGGUGAUCCCCCACAAUGGAACUGAAACACGGUCCAUACACCUGCGGGUGGCAGCAGUAGGGAAUAUUGCUUAAUGGGCGAAAGCCUGAAGCAGCAACGCCGCGUGGACGAAGAAGGCCUUCGGGUUGUAAAGUUCUUUUAUAUGGGAUGAGGAAGGACAGUACCAUAUGAAUAAGUCUCGGCUAACUACGUGCCAGCAGCCGCGGUAAAACGUAGGAGACGAGCGUUAUCCGGAUUUACUGGGCGUAAAGAGCGUGUAGGAGGCAAUACAAGUUGGAUGUAAAAGCUCUCGGCUAAACUGAGAGAGGACGUUCAAGACUGUAGAGCUAGAGGAAGGCAGAGGUAGAUGGAACUCCGGGAGUAGUGGUGAAAUGCGUAGAUAUCCGGAAGAACACCAGAGGCGAAAGCGAUCUACUGGGCCUUAACAGACACUGAGACGCGAAAGCCAGGGUAGCAAACGGGAUUAGAGACCCCGGUAGUCCUGGCCGUAAACGAUGUAGACUAGGCGCUUGUCGGGCAAAACCGGUGAGUGUCGAAGCGAACGCGAUAAGUCUACCGCCUGGGGAGUACGGUCGCAAGAUUAAAACUCAAAGGAAUUGACGGGGGCCCGCACAAGCAGCGGAGCGUGUGGUUUAAUUCGAUGAUACACGAAGAACCUUACCAGGGUUUGACAUACAGGUGGUAGAGAAGCGAAAGUGGAACGACCCUUCGGGGAGCCUGAACAGGUGCUGCAUGGCUGUCGUCAGCUCGUGUCGUGAGAUGUUCGGUUAAGUCCGCUAACGAGCGCAACCCUUGUUGUGUGUUACACGUAUCACACGAGACCGCCGGUAGAAAGCCGGAGGAAGGUAGGGAUGACGUCAAGUCAGCAUGGCCUAUAUAUCCUGGGCUACACACACGCUACAAUGAUCGAUACAAUGGGUAGCCAAGCCGCGAGGCGGAGCCAAUCCUAAAAAGUCGGUCUCAGUUCAGAUUGCAGGCUGCAACUCGCCUGCAUGAAGAUGGAGUUGCUAGUAACCGCAGGUCAGCGAUACUGCGGUGAAUACGUUCCCGGGCCUUGUACACACCGCCCGUCACGUCAUGGGAGUUGGCAACACCUGAAGCCGGUAUCCUAACCGAAAGGGGGGAGCCGUCAAAGGUGGGGUUGAUAACUGGGACGAAGUCGUAACAAGGUAGGGCUACCGGAAGGUGGCCCUG
rnacentral:rRNA from 1 species